UUAUAAAUAAAUAGACUUUUGAUUAUAAAUCAACUUUUUUUUAAAACUUAAAUUUUGUUUAAUUUGGGGAAAUGCUUAUUCUUUUUUUUUAACCUUCUUAUUCUUUAAAACCUUUGAGAUGUAAAAUCCACAAAACCAAAGCUAUUCCAGUAGAGAUGUUCAAAAGAGUACUGAGAACGUCCCUCCUAAUGAAAACCUGAUCCAAGAUAUCCCCCUUUUUCAAAGGAAAAUCUGACCUUGCACUCUUUUCUAGCAUCAUGACCUUAUAAUAUUUCCUGUCAAGAAAGAUCUCCAACCUUCUACUUUGUAACAUUCACUUAAACAGCACAAGGCAUGAAGGCAUCUCUCCAACUUUCUCCUUCAGCCUUUUUCUUUCAGGCUUCCGAUAAGGAGAUAAAAUGGAGAUAGAGUAGGUAAAUGCUUGUACAUCUAGCUGUCUUGCUAGUGAAGUAUUGUAGAAAUAAAUUCACGAUGGCAAUUUCCUCAAAGGGUCAAAAACGAGCCAAGUAAUUUAAUUUUAAAAGUGACUUUAAGACAGGAAAUCAGGAGUUGGUUUGUGAGUAACCCUGGGAAGGCUGAGGAUUGCGGUGAAGGCACAGAUCCUGCACCACCCCAAACUUAGUGAGGUCAAGCCUCGCAAAGGAAAGCUCGUAAGCCCUUUGUAGAACAAUAUCUUACUUUCAGGCCUCUGCCUGUCAGUCCUCUGCUCUGGUUAAUAUCAUCAAGGGAAUCCUUGCCUGACAGAAUGUAAUUUAGGAUCUAUUAAAUAUGAUUACUUGGCCUUGAAAAUGAUGGAUAUUGGACAGAAUUAUAGAAUCACUUUACAAAAGAAAGGUCUCUUUUACAUCCUUUCUUGUGGAGCCUAAAAUGAAGCCUGGGGAAAUCCCUCAGAGGGGUUGUGGCAUUUAUAGGUUAGGUUUAUGAAAAAGGGAAUUGAUAUUCAUAUUAAAAACUGUGAAAAUUGAGCAAGGUGAAGAUAGUGAGCAUGCAGACAGCUGUGACGUGUGUCUGAAGGGUGAGUGGCUUGUUGCCCAACUGAUUUACUUGCUUUAAUUAUAUUAGUAACGUGAAAGUCGACAUGAUUCGAAACAAGCUCUUUGGGUUUUUCAUUCAAAUACUAGCCCCCAGUGACCGCUUUUUAUGGUCCUCCCAAUUUCCAAUUACUUAAAAUGUUCAUAGCUGAAAUACUUCAGAGUUCACUGCUGGGUUUGCUUUGGAGGUGGCCUCGGUUUGGGUUUUGAUUUAAUUACAUUUUGUUCCUGGUUAUAAAAGUAAUAUAUGGUCAUUGAAAAAACUACAAAACAUAAAAAAUUGCAAAGAAGAAAUUAAAAUCACUAAUAAUUCUGCCACCCAGAGAUUGCCAUUAACAUUUUCUGUAUACCUACUAGGAUUUAUAUAUAUAUAUAUAUAUAUAUAUAUAUAUAUAUAUAUAUAUAAAACACAUAAUUAUAUAUAUAAUUUUUAUUACUUAAUUGAUGUAAUAUCAUAAUAUUGUUUACUAAAAUUGUUUUAACUUAAUACUGUAGUGUGACCAUACCCCCAUAUUUUAAGUAUCAUUCCAUAAGGAGAUAUUUAGUGGUUAUAUGCUAUUCAUUGUAUGUAUAUGCCACCAAUUCUUUUUAAGUUUAUUUUGAGAGAGAGAGAGAGAGAGAGAGAGGAGCAUGAGAAGGGGAGGGGCAGGGAGAGAGGGAGACACCUGCUGCCAGCACAGAGCUCGAUGCGGGGCUCGAUCCAAGGAACCAUGAGAUCAUGACCUGAGCAGAAAUCAAGAGUUAGAUGCUUAACCAACUGAGCCACCCAACCCCCUAUGCCAUCAAUUUUUAAAUUGCAAUUGGUGAGAAUUUAGAAGGUCUAUUUAUAUUUUUUCCCAUUAUCAGAUAACUCUGUAUACCUCCCCUGUUGUUUCCUUAGGAUACAUUUUCAGAAGAGUUACUAUGUCCAGCCUUUUUACAUGUGGUAAAUUUCUCCAAUCAUGCAAGGUCUGUAUUACAGUAGACUACAUCUUCUGACUAUUUUUCUUACCAGGACCAAAACAAUGAAGGUAGUAGAUAAAAUUGAGAUUAUCACCAUUGUAUUUCUAAUUGGUAAUGAAUUUUGUGUUAGGGAUAAGGUGGGAGCAGCAUUAGAACUUUAAAUUAUCUCAAAAAAAAAAAAAACUAACACAACAAGGAAGCAGGAAGUGGGGAAUGCAGAAUUAUUGUUUAAUUGGUUAUAGAGUUUCAAUUUUGUAAAAUAAAAGAAUUCUGGUAAUGGAUGGUGGUAAUGGUUGCACAACAAUAUUAAUGUACAUUAAUACCAUUAAACUAUACAUUUAAAAAUGGUUAAGUUAGUAAAUUUUACAUUAUAUAUCUUUUACCACAAAAAAAGAAAUUGGGGGGAGAAAAUGACUAAGCAAAUGAAAAAGAUCACCACUACUUGUGUUGCAGAGGAGCUCAUUUGGAAAAAGGAAAUAGGCCCUCCAUAUUCCAUGACAUGGUUCUGAUAUUAUGGUAGAUGAGGCUAUAAUCAUAAUUAACAAUUAUAUGGUACUUUACAGUUUACAGGUGCUUUUGUACACAUAAUUUCAUUGACAUAACAGCCUCAUGAAGUAGUUGAUUAUCAUCAUUUUGUAUAUGAGAACUCUGAGACAGCUCAAAUAACUGCCCAAGGUGAUAUAGCUGGCAAAGAGCAGAAGCAAGACAUCAUUCCAGGGCCGCACCCCCUUGUUUAAACUGUUUCCCGUGAAAUACACUACCAAGAUGGCUGCAAGGCUAUUGUGCUGGCAAAACUAUCAAGUGUUUUCAUUUGACAAGUCAAAUGUGUCAUUUGUAACUGAAAAGAGCAAACCUUUAAAUAGCAUUUAAAAGACUUAGCUUAGAAACCCUUCUUUCUGUAACAGCUUUGGAUAAGUAAUCAAUAAAACAGUAAUUUUACUAAUACUCAUAACGAAUAAUACUCCCCACUGUUGAACCCUUAUUUCAUGUUUUUGGCACUUUUGGAUAUUGAGUUAAGUUUUUAAAUUCUCCCUCUCUAAUAUAUUUAUCAUCCUAAAGGGGAACACAUGCAACAUCACCAGGUAUCAGUGUGGCCAGGCAAGGUCAUAGGGAGAGGAACUGAGCCCACAAUAAUUUAGAGACAACAGUUUCUCUCUUCACUGUCUCCCAUCCAAUUAAAUACAAAAAGAAAUGUUACAUUUUUCCAAAUUAAAUAUUAGCAUAAACAUAGAUUUUUUUAAAUGUAGAUAUUCCCUUGCUCCCUACGUUUUCUUCGCCUAUUUUUUGGGUGCAGGAUCUGAUCAAAGAUUAACAAGCUGUUAUUGGCUCUUAUAUCUAUCCAAUAUCAUCUUCAAUUUUGAUAGAUGAUUCCUCCAACUUUUCAAGAUUUCUUAGAGUUUUGUCUUUGAUGAUUCCUGAAUAAUUUAAUCUAACAAGCAGGUAGUUUUGGUAAACAGAAAUCUGAUCUGUGAGAUUUAUUUUGCCUCUGAGCCCAUUUGUCUUUGGAAUUAAAAGUAUCAAUAGAUAUCAUGAACAUUUCUUGUUCUCAUAUAUUGACUAACCUCAUGCCUUUAAUACACUUUAUUAUGGACCUGCUCUGUGCCUAGUUCUACAAAACUAAAUAAGACACGGUUCCAUGGAACUCUCAUUAUAUUAAUAAAUAGAAAAACUAACACAUACUAUUAAUUAAAAUCAAAUAGAGUAAGUGCAAUACUAUAAGUAUAUGCACAUACUCUGGGGUCACAGAAGUAUUAUAUUUGCUCCUAUGAGUAAGAGAAAGCUUCACAAAGGAAGAAUCAUCAGAGUUGGGACUAAAAGGAUGAACAAUUUUUCUUGAAGAAAGGGAUGGGAAGGUUUAUGCACGUAUAUUAUUUUGUCCCUUGUUUUAUGAUUACAUAUUUUUCUUCGAUUAUAGUAUGAAAUCACACAAUAUCAUAUACUCUGACUGUAACAUUACAAACAUCUUUAGGGGCACCUGGAUGGCUCAGUCAGUUGAGUCCAACUUUCGCUCAGGUCAUGAUCUCGCAGUUUGCGAGUUCAAAUCCCCUGGCAGGCUCUGCUGUCAGAGCAGAGCCUGCUUUGGAUCCUCUGUCUCCCUGUCUCUCUCUUCCCCCCGCCCCCCCCCUCUCAAAAAUCAAUAAACAUUAAAAACAUCUUUAGAUUUCAUAGCAUUCUCUGUAAAUUCACCAAACUAUCAUCAUUCACUGCACCUGCCAUUGAGUAGAAUUCAUUGUUGAUCAAUAAACAUUAAGCUUAAUUGUGAAGCUCCUUGAUUAAUUUACCACUGCACUGGUAGUGUGAGGAUGCCCAGCUGCAGGGGACACCAUUUAUAUGAACACUUCCCUUGGGGUCCCCAGGCAGUCUUCUGCAUACUUAUGGAUUUAUGGUAUUUAUCUCCCUCUACUUUGUACACAAUCCUAUUUUAAUACUGCAUUUUCCUUUCCAGUUGAACUAUACUCAAUGCAGUAGAAUUUUAAGAAAAAAAAAUUCUUCCUAGUAUUUAUGAUAGCUACUGCUCCAGUUAAUUUGGUUAAAUAGAAUUUCUGGAACAGUAGUUAUGAUUUUCUAAGAUACUGUAUCAUCACCUUUCUUAAUUUCUUAUGCUACUUAUAUAAUAUGGAUCACCGCACAAUGUAAAUCCCCACUAUAUACUUGAUGUUGAUGGUUUCUGGUCAGUUGAUGUAUGCCAGGUUUUUUCAGAAAUCAUACCAGCUUUGAGAUUCCUGAGCAACUAUGCUGUAUAUUCUUCUUUAGCCAUUAAUUGAAUUUUGAAAAGGAAUUUGAUAUAUUUCUAAUUUCUUUUUUCAUGGUAAAUCAGGGCAUAAAUCAUCUAUUCUCUACAAUCCUGAAUGGCAUCAACUGUGCUUGUUCUUUGUUAAUAAAUAUUUCAAGUUAUCUUAAACUAUGCUUAGAUAUUUUUACAUAUCUCAAACAAAUGGAUAAUAGACCAAUAGUUAGAUGGUUCUCCUCUACAAUCUUACUUCAUGUUUCUUCCAGAGUUUUAUAUUGGAUCUCCUCUACCCCAUUAGAUUCCUUUAACUUUGAUCUGUCUGCCUAGCAAGGACUCUAAACAAUAGCAUUCUCCUUGAUUUAGAUUUUAGCCCAUCAGAGGCUGUGUACUUUUUGAAGAAAAGGAAAUUCACUUAAACAGAGUGGUUUGCACAUUAAAUAUUUGCUCAUAAGAAUGAGUUCUGCAGGACUUUCCAGCUCUAGGAUUCCGUGUGUAUAAUGGCAGAGUGAAAACAACAGAUUGUAAUUGUAUGAAUGUCAUCUGUGUUAUGUCAAAGAGAAAAACAACUUCGUCCUGAAUCAGAUCAAAUAGAACAGUCCAAAAAAUUUUAAUAGAGGUGAAAACUUAGCCAAUUAAUUGAAUUGGUUACAUAUUAUUUUUCAGUGGUUAGAUAACACAUACUGAAAUUAAAUUUUCUAAAAAAUAUUAAUUAGUACCUUCCCAAGGGCUUUUUUUUUAAACGUUUAUUUAUUAUUUUUAAGAGACAGAAGGAGACAGAGCAUAAGCAGGGGAGGAAGAGAGAGAGGGAGGGAGACACAGAAUCUGAAACAGGAUCCCGGCUCUGAGCUGUCAGGACAGAGCCCAAAGUGGGGCUCAAACCCAUGAAUUGUAAGAUCAUGACCUGAGCCUAUCAGACGUUUAACUGACUGAGCCACCCAGGCGCCCCCCAUUCCCAAGGGCUUUUGAAUCCCAUCAGGUUUGUUUUAUUUUUUGGAAUCUUUUGCAAUAUGGCACAUCUGUGCUGAGGUGUCUGCACAGAGUCAUGUGUGAUCUCCCCACUAUAAUAUUUCUGUGUGGGGUUUCUCACAUAUUGACCUGCCCCCUGACAAAACAGGAGGUCACGGCAACUAAGAAACCAGUGAUUUUGCCCUGAACACAGAUAGAGGAAAGCAGAUUUUUCCAUCAGUGGAUCAGCCUUUUUCCAAUUUUUAGUGGAGAACUUCUCUGUAAAUUAUUCAGGAACAAACUGAGCCUUGGUCAAUGCAAAACCAAAAAUAUCAAUGAAUUAUUUUUUUAAGACUUGAAAAGAGCAGCCACUUUCCUGCAUUCAGGAAAAUAUGUCCAUCUUCUUGUAAUUUAUAUGCAGUUGCAGGGAAUUGCCUAGAGUGUUUCAUUAGCAACAUGUUGUCCCCUGCAGGGGCAAUAAUUCACCUAGUACACUCUUAUUCUCUUCCUAAGCAAAUCUGGGGAUGAAUAACAAUAAUGAUUUUUAUUUUCAUUUCAGUCUUUAGAAAUCCUCCUUUAUUCCUACUCUGCUCUAGUUCUCUGGAAUGAUGAAUGAUGACCAUUUAUAACCUAGCAUACUGAAAGUGUCAUGAUCUUAUCGUUCGUGGGUUUGAAUCCUGCGCCAGGCUCGGUGCUGGCAGUGUGGAGCCUGCUUGGGAUUUUCUCUCUCCCUCUGUCUCUCUGCCCCUGGCCCACUCACUCAUGCGUUCUCGGUCUCUGAAAAAAAAAAAAAAAAAAAUUAAAGAAAAAGAAACGCAAAUUCCCAGGCACUAUCCUAGUCCUGCUGAGUAAGAAACUCCAGGCCCUUCUGAGUUUUAUAAGCCCUCCAACUGAUUUUGAUAAUCGUUUGCAUAAGAUCCACAAUUCUUGCUCUGCAGUACUGAUACACCUUCACUUCCUGUUCACUCUUCCUCCCACAGACCCUUCAGCCUCAUUUCUUCCUCAGAGCUUGGUCCUGGCUCCUUCAACCUCCCUCUUUGCAUUCUUCCCCCGAGGAGAUCUCACUCAUCCCUUAGUGGGAUCUCACCUAUUUCUAAAAGAAAAAAUCUAUUGACAUGGAGUGACCAUUACCUAAUAGCAAUAGCCUCUUCUGGACUUCUCAGUAAAUGCCAAAUCUCACCUCAGUGGCCUGUUCUUUUCAGAAGUUUCUCUAAUGCUGAAUGGACUCAUAUUAAACCUCUUAUCUGAUAAUAAAAGUUAACCCUUGUUGAGCAAUUAAUAUGUACUGUCCCAAACAUAUGUGUAUAUUAUGUCAUUCAAUCCUCACUACAACUCUAUGAGGCAAGUAACAUUAAUAAUCCAUUUUCCAGGUAAGCAAAUUGAGGCACAAAGUAGCUAAGCGAGAGCUCAAGGUCAUACAGGCAAGAAGUAGUAGAGAGUAUAUUAAAAGCCAAAUGGUCUAAGAGAUGAUUGUUACUCAGCAAGUAAGAAAAACCUAGUCUUAUAAAGCAAACAGGAAAUUAAGCACUUUUCCUUCUGCCAUAUGAAGACCAUAAUGGAAUUUUUCCUAAAAGAUUGUCUUAAAAAGCAGGAGAUGCACCUUAAAAUUUAUGUAUUCUAAAUUGGGGGUUGGGGGGGGGGGAGAAUUCCCCCAGGCAGUGACCUUUAUUACUAAGAUUUGAUUUGGAAGCCAAUUUUUAUAGCUCAGUUAAAAACUGCUAAACCCAGUCACUUAUAUAAUAGAAAUGCUGACGUGACCUUAAUUCUAGAGGUGCAAAGGGUAUAAUUGAAUUUAAGAACAAUGUACCUCAUCCAUUAAGUCAUUAAAUAGAUCAUAAUAAUCUGACACAUUUGGUAAGUACUACAUGAAAGUGGUUAACAAUGGUAUGCAAAUAAAAUGAGCUUACACGAUUAGCUGCUGUAUUUUCGGUUGUGUUUGCCAAAUAUAACAUUAAAUUACAAUACAGUCAUUUAGAAAAUGUUAUGGCAAUAUAUUUUAAAUGUUCCUGAACAUGAUGCCAACAUAAAGAAAGGGAAUGUUAGAAUCUCCAGAAUAUUGCCAAGUGCCUGUGUGUAAUUCAGAUAGCUUUAUAUUUACAGUUAAUAGAAUUAAACUUAAUCAGGAGUACAUCCUUUUGAACCAAACUUCUGGAGUUGCCCUGGUGAGAUAGUGCAUCUGAUUGAAAAGUAUAUGUAAAGAUGCCAACUAAAUGCUAAAGUCAGAUCAUUCCUCCCCAUAGAUGAAUAUUUGGCACUGCUGAGAAAAAACAUCCAGAUGUUUGGCAUCAUAUAGCCAAAUACCUAAAUCCAAGUGAAAUCAUGAGUUAAACACACACUUAGGGAAUUGAAUCACUGGAGACAUCCAGUGAGGCUCGUUUUAGCUCAAACAAAAUAAAACAAAGCCAAAACAAAAUUUCUUGAGGGCAGGGCUAGAAAUCUGAAUUUUCAAUUCAUAUUGUCUCAAUUCUUCAUUUAAUCUGACUAUUUAUAGGACCAGUAAUGAAGCGUACUAAUCAUUUCAGUGUAAUAGAGAAUCCAGUAGAGCAAAACACUGGGCUUCAGAACUCUGACAAUUAUUUUAAUCAGAUCUUCUGUUUUAUUUCCUUAUGCAAAUGCUAAUAUAACAAAUAAGAGUUAGUAAAUAAUAGUAUAUCUAAUAAAUUAUCCAGGUUCUUACCUGCUGGUCACAAUAAUUGCUAAUAUAUUCAAAUGCCUUAUGUUAUAUUUAUGCAUGGGCAACAAGCCAUGGAAAUGAAUAUAUGCAUUUAUAUAAGAGAUAUAUAACAUGGUGACAUAAAAAUCAAAAAGGUCAAAAAUCGCUGUCCUAGUAAAAGAAAUAAAAAUAAUUAAGUGUUUAAAUUGAAUAUAAGUGACUCAGUUAGUAGGAUAGAUCAAUUACAAAAAUGACUCCUAUUUUCCCCCUUCUUACUACAUGUCUGUACAUCUCUUCCCAUCAUGAUGUGGCAUUUAUUUGUCCCACCUCUUGAACUAAACUGUCCUGCAACUUGACCUCUAGAGUGUGGUUGAUAUGAGGGGGUGUCACAGUUAACGGAGGCCUCAAGAGACAUUAUGCACCCUCACUUACUCUCUUGUUCCUGUUCCUUUGCCCUGAGAAUAACUCUGAGCUAGCCUGCUGAAGAAUGAGAGACCCUGUGAAAAAGAGCCAAAUCGUCCCCACUGGAGACAUCCUAACCCACCAGUUUAGCACAGAUGCAUAAGCAAGACCAAGAAGAGCUGAGCCUGGCACAGACCAGCACAAUCCACCCCGCUGAUCGGCUCUGGCACUUAAAAGGGACAAUGAAUAUGAAGGAGGAGAAGGAGAUGUGAGAAUCAACUGGAAUCUGGAGGGUAAGCUUCUACACAGCUACAAGGAUGGACUGGAAUCGGAAAGACUGUCAGUCUCUCAUCACUUCCAAUCCUCCAACUUGGAUGAGGGCAUGUGUCCCACAGGAGAAGCUGAUGCCCUUAGUCAUGGGACUGAAUAUGCUCUUGGCCCAGGACUUCGAGAAGCUGAAGGAUAAAAUUUGGCAGGAGCUGAAGGAGCUGUGGGCCAGAUGUUGCCCCAGGCCAGGAGGAGCCCCUGGCCUCCUACCAGUUCCUGAAUCACAGCGAGAUCAUGCCUGUCUGAGGACCUUUGCACCAGCUGGAUCAAUUGCUUGCAACACCCUUCCCAUUGAUGGAUCUUCAUAUCACUAGCUCUUUCUUAUUAUUCAGGUUUCAGCUUGAUGUCAUCUCUUUGAUGCAAUUUUGGAGUGGUGGUGGGGCUCUAGAGCCGAUGGCCAAGAAAGAAUUCUUGAGACAUCUUUGGAGCAAAAAGAGUGAGAGUGCAAGCAGAAGGGCAGAGAGGGGGGGGAC